AUAUGUAACUACUACUUACGAGUACACAACCUGUUUACAAUAUACAAUGAUACAUAGGUACUAAUAUCAUUACAUACAUUACACACAAAUGAAAACAAAACAAUAAAAACGUAAUUAACUCAUAGAUCAGAGACCAUCAUUGUAUUUAAGUUAAUACAAAUAAUUAAAAAUAAUUAUGAAAAAUAACAAAAGAAUUAUGCACACUGCAAUAAAUUAAUAAAACUGAUGUAGGUUAUAGGUACCUAAUAUAAUUAAUUAUAAAUAAUAAUAAUAUUUAUAAUCAAUAUUCAAUGCUAAUAUAUAUAUAUAUAUAAUAAUAACGUAAAAAAUAACGGUACUUGAGUUGUUCGAACCUGGCCAAUGUUCGCGCGCUUGUCGCAGAAUUUCGCCUAAAAACAAGUGUUAUAACCUAUAUAUACCUACCCGACAGACAACAGCUGUCGCACCCUCUGCCCCCCGCGCCGUGCGUUUUUAUCGCACUCGUCGCCAUUGUCGGCGCGAACCGGCUUUUUUCUUUGCGGUCAACUGGCACUUGCCUUUGCACCUCGCAUCUGUCGAGUUCGCGACGUGACUGUGGUCACCACAAGUGCGCCUUAACCGUGUGUUGUGUGCGAGUCGGAACCCGGUAGAUACUUCUUAUACGGUAACUCCCGUUCGUGGGGUAUCCGACCGCCACAUAUCUUCUGCUGCCGUUGCUGAGGUCCAGAACUCAGAAGCCACACGGGUCAUACAUUUUUGGCGCCACGGACGUGUCAGUUUUGCCGGUCCUAGCCAUCUUGGAGGAAAGUCACGUGGUGUCCGUCGGUCCGGUAUUAUUUUUAUAUUAUUGUAAAAUCAUAUACUCAUCUACUUUUAUUCUAUAAGUUGUCCAAAAUCUUUACGGUAGCUGAGUUAUUCGGUAUCGUUGUUAUUAUAUUGUAUUGUUUUUAAUUAUACCAUUUUGUUAUAUUGUUAUACUACUGUGGGGACGCCCGCAUCAUAAUUAUUAUUGAUAUUUUGCUGUAUUAUAUAUAUAUUAAUUCGUAGAA